UCUGUCUGAAAAAAAAAAAAAAAGAGAGUUGAAAUUGAAAAAAAAUAGACUGCUGGCAAGAAAACUAAACCAUGUUUAUAAAACUUCCAUUUAAAUGCUCACUAAAAUGGACAAAGAAAAACAAUACUAGGGAAGAAAAUAACGUAGACAUGAAAUUUAAAAAGGCCCCAAAUUCAUGGUACAAACACUGAAAAGCACUCAGUCAAACUGAAACUGGAAGAGGAUAUCCUACCUUGAGACUCACACGCAGCUCUCAGCUCUGGCACAUGGUGCAGGGUAGUGGUGAUGGCAGGUACAAUUCUGAAAGUGGUGUUGGCAGGUAAGAGGUGGGUGUUUGAGGGACAGAGUUUACCAGAUUCUGAGAAGAAGGCAGGGCCCUUCUAUCUGACCCUGAGUUAUACACAUGAUAGGAUGUGGAUUCAUAGAGUGUUUUGUACUAAUGUUUGCAUUUUACUUCCACCUAAGUAACUUUCUAGCCCCCAGGGGACGGGCAAAGGAAGAAAAGGUGAAGAUGAAUGACCAGACAUGUGGGUUGCCCUGCUCAGCUGUGUCAGAACGGCUUGAUCCUCAGCCCCGCACAGGACCACUCUCUGGCAUGCACCAGCGGAGAAACUGGAGGCACACUGGCGCAGGAGCAGCCCCAGGCUUGAGGGCUUUUCCAGCCCUGUCUGUUUACCCACGUGAUGGUUUGCUACGGUUUUUAAUAGCUGGUAAAGUGAACACCCAGUUCAUUCUCCUCAUUAUCUCCUGGAUUCCCGCCUACCGCCAUCAGUCAGUAUGCCCUACAUUUUUCUUGACGUGAAGCACAGCCUGGAGAAUAUUCCCUGAAACAGCUCUUUAAACGCAAUCCAAAAAAGGCAUCAUGCUGACUUAACCAUGUUAUGAGGAAAUUCUCUGAGAGCUGGGGCUGGGCAAGAGCCAAGAGAGCUGCUGACAGCAAAGUGAGAGAAGGCAGGCCUCAGAAAGGAGAAGAGAAAGAUGCCUGGCAAGCGAGAAGCAACUGGAAUGCUCUGUAACUCACAUUCUCUAUAAAUCUCCAAAUUCUCUCACUAGCAGCAUCUUAAAGUGUGUGUGUAUUUUUUUUAACUUUUAUUUUAGGUUCGGGAGUACAUGUGAAGGUUUGUUACAUAGGUAAAUUCAUGUCUUGAGGGUUUGUUGUACCGCUUAUUUCAAUACCCAGGUACUAAGCCCAGUGCCCAAGAAUUAUCUUUUCUGCCCCGCUCCCUCCUCCCACCCUCCAGCCUCAAGUAGGCAGCACUGUUUGUUGUUCCUCUCUUGGUAUUCGUAAGUAUUUAGCUCCCACUUAUAAGUGAGAAUAUGCGGAAUUUGGUUUUCUGUUCCUGCGUUAGUUUACUGAGGGUAAUGGCCUCCCGCUCCAUCCAUGUUCCCACAGAAGACAUGAUCUCGUUCUUUUUUUUGCGGAGUCU
rnacentral:lncRNA from 1 species